GAUCUAUUUGAUUCUAGGACACCGUCGAAACAUUAUGUAAGUAUCUAUUUGGUUAGAUGUUGGAUUUGUUUACGCUUUGAAUAGAUGCGUAUGUAUCUGUCAAUUUACUUGGGCAUAGCUAACAUCAAGUACAUUUCGUUGUAUUGUUUUGGACUCUUGUUCUAAUUUAUGUCUAGAAUAGCACUCUAAUUAUCAGAUUUAACUGGGGUUUGUCACGCUCAAUCAAUAAACGAUGAUUUUACUUCAUUAGUAUAGUGGUGAGAAGGUUUGUGUACCUGACAUCAGAAGUUUUUAAAAUUAUAUGGUGAAAUAUAGUUAAUAGAAUGUGAAGAACUUUUCUUUUUUCCUUUUGCAAUUAUUUUUAUAAUUGUUAUUAAGUAGGAUAUCUAUUGGAUUAUUUGGGUUACAUUCAACAGGUUUUUUUGCUGACUUGUUCUUCUGUCUAUGAACCUGUAUCAUAUGGUGGGUGUUCCAUGAUUAAGAAAUCUUGGAUAUCCUCUUAAGUUGGCAGGUUUCUGAAGCGUCUCUUUUCCUCUCUGGAGAACCUAAGAUUGGUUGCCAUUGUGGCAUGUUUGUUUUUGUUUUGUUUUUGGUUUAAUAUGUUCUUACUGUGGAUGAUACUGAAAUUUCAUUCCAGAUUUUGGCAGUGACUGCACCUAGGUUCCAUUUAUCAAGCAGUUCCAAGAAAGUUGUUAAGUGAUAUUUCAGUUUCUUUUGCUCGGGGUGGAAUGCCGGUCACCGUAAGAUUCUUGCCGGGUCUGAUUGAGCAUUGUUGCGGUAGGAUUAGACUGAAACGAGAGAUUUGCGUUCAUCUUAAGUUUAUUUGAGGGGUGUUUUUCUGGUUUUUAUAAAAAGCCACUAUGACCCGAUAACAUUGCGUUUCGAUUAUUGUUAAUAUUAUAUAAAUUGAAAUUGAAUCUCAUUUAGGUGUUCUGGUAGGGCGUGUGAGUGGCCCUGUUUGAGUUUAUUGGUGUAAAAUUUACGAGUGAUUGCGGGUAACAUUAUUUUCAAGAUCUUCGUUGAUGGAAUUAUCCCAUAUGACAAUACACGAAGCAAAACGAAUGGUGGAGGCGAAAUAGUGGGUUAUAAAUUGUUAGGUCAGGAUCAUUCUGUCCUCAAUGGUGGUUCGUACUCUUUCUUAAACUAUAGAAGUGAAGUUUCUUGUGGCAAAUACCAACAUUGACAAGGUAAAUUUUUGUCGAAAUUAAUUACAUCUAAUCCUUGUUUUUUAUAAUUUAGAUCGAAGCCUGCAGUGAAACUUGAAAAACGUUGGUUAUGUAAUAU
rnacentral:lncRNA from 1 species